GACAGAGGCCUCAAGCGUUUAGGCGGAAUCACUGGGCUUAAAGCGUGUGUAGGCGGAUCGUUAAGUACCUUGUGAAAUCCCACGGCUCACCCGUGGAACUGCUGGGUAUACUGGCGAUCUUGGGCCAACUAGGGGCAGCUGGAACAAGCGGUGGAGCGGUGAAAUGCGUAGAUAUCGCUUGGAACGCCAAAGGUGAAAACAGGCUGCUGGGGUUGUGCCGACGCUGAGA
rnacentral:rRNA from 1 species